rnacentral:rRNA from 1 species
CCUACCAAACCGACGAUGCAUAGCCGAGCUGAGAGGUUGAUCGGCCACACUGGGACUGAGACACGGCCCAGACUCCUACGGGAGACAGCAGUUAGGAAUAUUCGUCAAUGGGGGAAACCCUGAACGAGCAAUGCCGCGUGUGCGAUGAAGGCCCUAUGGGUUGUAAAGCACUGUUGUUUGGAACGAAUAACUAGAUGAGGAAAUGCCUCUAGUCUGACGGUACCAUUCAAGAAAGCCACGGCUAACUAC